rnacentral:rRNA from 1 species
UACGUAGGCAGCGAGCGUUGUUCGGAGUUACUGGGCGUAAAGGGCGCGUAGGCGGCCACGCACGUCCGUUGUGAAAUCGCCCGGCUCAACUGGGCGGGGUCAGCGGAUACGGUGUGGCUCGAGCAAGCUAGGGGGCAAUGGAAUUCCCGGUGUAGUGGUGGAAUGCGUAGAUAUCGGGAGGAACACCAGUGGCGAAGGCGGUUGCCUGGAGCUUUGCUGACGCUGAGGCGCGAAAGCGUGGGGAGCGAUCCGG